ensembl:lncRNA
AUGAUGUAGCAGUCACAGGGGCAGGUGAUGAACUUUUCCUCACAGGUGAGGAUGAGGAUGAUGUAGCAGUAACAGGAGCAGGUGAUGAACGUUUCCUCACAGGUGAGGAUGAGGAUGAUGUAGCAGUCACAGGGGCAGGUGAUGAACUUUUCCUCACAGGUGAGGAUGAGGAUGAUGUAGCAGUCACAGGGGCAGGUGAUGAACUUUUCCUCACAGUAACAGGGGCAGAUGAUGAACGCUGCCUCACAGGUGAGGAUGAGGAUGAUGUAGCAGUCACAGGGGCAGGUGAUGAACUUUUCCUCACAGGUGAGGAUGAGGAUGAUGUAGCAGUCACAGGGGCAGGUGAUGAACGUUUCCUCACAGUUGAGGAUGAGGAUGAUGUAGCAGUCACAGGGGCAGGUGAUGAACUUUUCCUCACAGAUGAGGAUGAGGAUGAUGUAGCAGUAACAGGGGCAGGUGAUGAACUUUUCCUCACAGGUGAGGAUGAGGAUGAGGAUGAUGUAGCAGUCACAGGAGCAGGUGAUGAACGCUGCACAGAAGACCAAAGACACAAAAAAAAUACCACAGAUGUAAACAAAAAGUAAAUAUAAAUGCUUGCUUAAUUCAAAGUGCAUUGAUUUAGUUUAAGGGCAAGACAAAUGCAUUUGGAACAAAUAAUGUUUAAAA